rnacentral:rRNA from 1 species
AACGAACGCUGGCGGCGCGUUUUAAGCAUGCAAGUCGAGCGGCAAGGGCCUUCGGGCCCCUAGAGCGGCGGACGGGUGAGUAACACGUGGACAAUCUGCCCCCCGGACCGGGAUAGCCCAGGGAAACCUGGAUUAAUACCGGAUGAGAGCGUCGGCGCACAAGCGUCGGCGGGGAAAGGCGCUGCGGCGCCGCCGGGGGAUGAGUCCGCGGCCCAUUAGCUGGAUGGCGGGGUAAAGGCCCACCAUGGCGACGAUGGGUAGCCGGCCUGAGAGGGUGAUCGGCCACAUUGGAACUGAGACACGGUCCAGACUCCUACGGGAGGCAGCAGCUAAGAAUCUUCCGCAAUGGGCGAAAGCCUGACGGAGCGACGCCGCGUGAACGAUGAAGGCCGUGAGGUUGUAAAGUUCUUUUCGGGAGGGAGAACAACCGUGGCAGGGAAUGGCCGCGGGAUGACGUGAAUCCCGGAAUAAGCCCCGGCUAACUACGUG